rnacentral:lncRNA from 1 species
GCUAAAAUAGAAUAGUAACAGAAAUCAUAUUUGCCAGCCCUAACUGAAGGAAUUGUGAAACAUCUCAGAAGAUUGGUAAUGGUCUUCUGCUCCAGCUAAACCAAUUCUUGAUGGUCUCAUUUCACCAUGAAACUAUCAUCUGUAUUUUCUUUCAAAUUAUCUGGAAUCAAUCCCCAACUCUCAAAGCCUGGAGCAGAGAGAAAAGAACACUGAAUAUGUUCAUCAUUUUGAUUUUGAAACCAAAAGUUUAUUAAAAG